CAAUACCCUGUCGAUCCACUUCAGAAACGAGUUCUCCUGUUAGAGAAAGCAAAAGCAGACAAGAAAAGGGCAACUGAAGUUGCAAAGCCUCAACCCAAGAGGCCUCGUGCUAAUGGUGCCGGAUAUGGUCCUCGAGUCACCAACGUAGCUGCUGACAAAACAUUCUAUCCGAGAGUCACUGACAGGUACAUGCAGUACGUGUAUGACAGACCCUAUGUUUACCCCGGACCUGCUGACAACCACAGCCACUCUCUUCUUGCUUCUGCUACCUACAACUUCACUCCUAGUCACGGGA
rnacentral:lncRNA from 1 species